GAGGCGCUGCAUGCACGGGUUAUUUUGGUUGUCCAUUCACAUGUGAGAGGUGAGGCUGGGAUCAAUGGUUGAAAAUCUGCGUGUUCUCCAUCACUCCUGCGCUCACACUCCUCGACUCCUCUUCAAAGGUCACAUAGUGUAUUUCAGCCAUGUCUGAGGG